AGUGUCCGAGGCUCAGAGAGAUGGCAGGGUUCACCUCUGGACAGAGCAGGACAGAACUAGAAUGAAUGUAUAACACCGGGGAAAAGAUUGUUAGUGAGAAAUGCUCCACACAAACACAUUCCAAGAACAUGAGUGAGAGAAAGAGAUGGACUGUGCUUGGUGGUGGUGGUUCGGUGCACUUCCCUCCGGGUUGGGCUGGGCUGUGGUGACAGAGGAGAUGGGUACAAGGGAAUUAUGAGAAUUUUAGAUGCAUUGCUCAAAAUUUAGGGGCUUGGUGUGUCCAGACUUUGAUGUGGGAUAAGAGAAAAGGAGAGCCCUCACGGCGGGACAUAAAUGGGUUAAUCAGGUUGGGAGAAGUGGGUGUCCAGAUAAUUCCACCCACAAGUCCAAGUGGGGAGCCUGGGUCCAAGCAGAAAAGACAGUUUCCUCCUUUAGCAAUCAAAGGAGUCCAGAGGGGGUGCCCAGCCUUGGGCCAGAGGGAGAAAGGAAGAGGGAAAGCUUUGCUCUGAGGAUGAGGUUUAGAGCAGAAGGAAACAGAGACCACCCAGAAAAGGGAGACUUUUCCUGUGCCAAGGCGGAGACCCAGGGGACUGUGCACAGUUAUCUCGGCCCUUUGAGCGCCUCCGUUUCCCUUGUCUGUGGUCAAGCCUAGCUCUGUAUUCCAGCCAGCUGUGGGAGGAUGGGGUGACAAAGUGAUGCUCAAAGAGAAUGUGGGGCCAGCAGGGG
rnacentral:lncRNA from 1 species